rnacentral:rRNA from 1 species
UACGGAGGGCGCGAGCGUUGUUCGGAAUCAUUGGGCGUAAAGCGCGUGUAGGCGGCUUGGCAAGUCGAGUGUGAAAGCCCGGGGCUCAACCCCGGAACUGCGCUCGAAACUGCCUCGCUAGAGUCCCGGAGGGGAGGGCGGAAUUCCCGGUGUAGAGGUGAAAUUCGUAGAUAUCGGGAGGAACACCAGUGGCGAAGGCGGCCCUCGGGACGGUGACUGACGAUGAGACGCGAAAGCGUGGGGAGCAAACAGG